rnacentral:rRNA from 1 species
UAGUCCACGCUGUAAACGAUGUCUACUAGCCGUUGGGGAGCUUGACUCUUUAGUGGCGCAGCUAACGCGAUAAGUAGACCGCCUGGGGAGUACGGUCGCAAGAUUAAAACUCAAAUGAAUUGACGGGGGCCCGCACAAGCGGUGGAGCAUGUGGUUUAAUUCGAUGCAACGCGAAGAACCUUACCAGGCCUUGACAUCCUGAGAACUUUCUAGAGAUAGAUUGGUGCCUUCGGGAGCUCAGUGACAGGUGUUGCAUGGCUGUCGUCAGCUCGUGUCGUGAGAUGUUGGGUUAAGUCCCGUAACGAGCGCAACCCUUAUCCUUAUUUGCCAGCACUUCGGGUGGGAACUUUAAGGAGACUGCCGGUGACAAACCGGAGGAAGGAGAGGAUGAUGUCAAGUCAUCAUGGCCCUUACGGCCUGGGCUACACACGUGCUACAAUGGGAAGUACAAAGGGCAGCGAACCCGCGAGGGGGAGCCGAAUCCCAGAAAACUUUUCGUAGUCCGGA